GCCAUGCUGCUGCCGCUAUGAGGUCUGUGUUCUCAUACUAACCAAGAUAAUGUUUCUUUCCAUGCCACCUGGCUGGCAUUCUCUUUCCCUCUCCAGUUUCUUCCAUGGUUAAUCUUUGCCGGAUUAUAUAGCAUAGGGUUCCCCCCCACCUUAAAUUACUCCAAUCGUGAGUGUGAUCUUUUUAAACUCUUGACAAUUACCAUGAUCCUGACUUUUCAUGGACCAGAGUGAUUGGCAGCUUUGCCUUUUUGGGGAAUUUCCUGUUUUUAUUUUUAUCUUUAUUUUUAUUCUUAUUUUGGAGUACAGACUCCGAAUAUGAGAGCGAGCUACAGUUCAGCUGUAGUGUAGGAGACAAGUCUGACCAGUCUGGCAAGGUGAGAAAGUGGUUCUUAGUGAGCUGGUUGGGGAAUGAGCCUAGAGUACCUUCUUGUUUAUUUCUGAAAGUGAGAACCUUCUAGAAAUGUUCUUUUAAAGAGUGGAACAUAUUUUAAGUGUGCCAGGAGUCUUAACUCUAACAACUCUUUGAGGGGAAACUUUUUUUGUGUUAUAAUUCUCUGUGUGCAUGUUUUAGAAUGAAAAUGAAAAUCCCGAGGUUAACCAGGAGCUCAAGAGAUUAACCAGGAGCCUACUUCUCCACUGCUGAUGAGUUUCCAUUUCAGGUUUUUUUGUUGUUGUUGUUGGGUUUUUUGUUUUUUUGUGUUUUGUUUUUUUAGUUUUUUGGUUUUUUGGUUUUUUGGUUUUGUUUUGUUUCAUUCUCUCUCUCUCUCUCUCAGAUGAUAAAUAACUUGAUGUUUGAGUUUCCUAGUUGUGUCCUGAGAAAUGAGCAUGCAUUGCGCAGGCGAGAUGGCUCAGUAGCUACAGGCACUUGCCACUAAGCCUAAAGACCUGAGUUUAUCCUGGAGCCCUGCGGGAGAAGUGAACUGACGCCCACAAGCUUUUCUCUCCACCCAAGCAUCAAGUGCUCUCUCUCUCUCUCUCUCUCUCUCUCACGCACACACACACACACAAAGAGAGAAAGAGAUCUGUGUGUAUAUUCUUCUGCACUGUGCAUAUUUUCUUUCAAUAAAAUGCAAACUGCUAAAAGUACAUACAGUGCUGGCUAGGUUCCUUCUAACUGUCCUUGGGAAUGUCGGUGUGUGUUUCCCAUCCUCCCCCUCUUAAGCCCCGCCUGAGAGCUGGGGAGAAUGUGGGCUUCAGUUUUCAUUUCCUCGUCUUUGAUUAUUCACUUGCUGGUGAGCCAUUGCAGGGCAUCAGCUAUGUGAGGCGGGCGUUUCCGACGGAGCUCAUGCUAACGUGUUUGCUGAUGGUGGCUCCAAGGGCUAGAACUGCUGGUGUGUGCCGUCACGCUGGGCCUUUUCCUCUUGUGUAUCGCAUGGCAAACCACAGAGCUUGGUUACAGACACACAGAUCAUGACUAACGCAGCUCCAGUCACCUACCCCACACCCUAAGUCGAAUGCUGCUCUGCCCUCACCACCCUCUGGUGACCAGGCUGCUAACACAGGCGUCUUUGGGAGGCGGUCCAGAGCCCAGCGAUUUUCCCUGGAAGAUUAGAGGCGAACUGAAAUCUUAAAGGGGCAGAGGGUAGGCUCAGAACUAGGGAGAAGAGAAACGUGCCAGGUCCUCCUUGAGGUCAGUCCAGGUUGGGGCAAAAGCGCACCACUGCCAGUUCCUCCAACCCUCCACACGGCCCCAGCGUUUCCUCCGAUCUCCGCCCCGCCCACCUCCGCCCCGCCCCCGCUCCUGCUCCUCCAGAUGAUAAGCCUUGGCUUCCUUCCUGUUGAACUUUGCCCUAGUGGUGGUGCGGUCCUUUCCCACUACCAAUAUAGCAAAGAUAAGAAAGUGAGUACAGGGGUGAGCCCACACCGACUGCACAGGCUGCAAGCCGAGUGAGGUUCCCUCACUCUGAAUGCAGCUUGACACCACAGUUGGGUUGGCUUUUCAGACUCCCCCCAA